UGAAAAACUACCACCACCAUACUUGGCCCAGUCGGCAGAACUCCAAGCGAUCUACCAGGCAUGUCAACUAGCGGAAGGUAAGACUGUAAACAUGUACACAGACUCGGCCUAUGUGCAGGGCACUGCUUACAGACAUGGCUGCAUGGCAAAUAACUGAUUUCCUGACCACCACAUUUGUGAAACACCACAAUUUACUUCUGGAAUUGGCAGAAUCAGGAAAAUUACUGUAAGCAGUCUCACUCAUCAAAGGAGCAGGCCACUCCAAAGCUGGAACAUUUGAAGCACAUGAUAACGCCAGUGCUGAUUUAGCAGCCAAGCAGGCUGCUGACUAUCAAACUACACCUAGGUUACAACUGGUGUGUAAAAUACUGGACAAUUCACAAACACAAAGAUGAUCAGCACAAAGGAACUCCCAAGAGGCAGCUGCCUGAAUGGCAAAAAAAAAAAAAAAAAAAAAAAAACAGUUGAAAGCGAAAGGAGCAACCAAAUCAGGUAUAGAUGGAAUUUGGAGAUCGUGGGAUGGGACAAAAUUGGCCCCUUGUGGUUUACUACAAAUUUUACAUUUAGAAAAAAUCUGACUCUACCAAUCUGUUCAGUGAAGGCGAAAUUAUUGAAAAGAACUGUGUCCAAACCAUUGAUCUGUCAACCCGCACUUCUGGCUCUCAAUUGACCAUCUCUACAGCUGACGUACGGUGCUUCUGUGAAGGUCAUGUUUUGUAUGGGUUCCUUGCCCCAAAUUGGGCCAGGAAGUGUGCCCUUGUCUCUCUUCUCUUGACCAUACAGAUAAACAAUGUGGCAAACAGUUGUCCAUCCCGCUGCCCACCUUAAAGAAAAGGAAAAGGGCCAAGGACCCAAUGGCUGGGAGUCCGAUUUACAUCGAUGCCAUAGGAGUCCCGCGAGGCGUCCCAGAUGAGUAUAAAUUAGUUGACUAAAUUUCAGCAGGUUUCGAGUUUAUUUUCAUAUGGAUAACACCCAAGUAUACAUAGAUCACAUGAACUACAUACAUUAUAAUCAGAAUCAUCUUUAUUUUGCCAAGUAUGUCAAAAAGCACACAAGGAAAUUGUCUCCGGUAGUUGGAGCCGCUUUAGUACGACAACAGACAGUCAAUUGACAGAGAAUACUUUUGAGACAUAAAGACAUUGACAAAAAAGGAUGCCGAGACUUCAAGGAAUGUAUGCAGUUUAAAGUGACUAGUAGCGCGAUAAUCUGAGACAAUGUCGAUUGUGCAAAUGUUGCAGAUACUCCUGCGUCAGUGUGCAAGUGGUGCAGAUGCUACUCUGGCAUGAGUGGCCAGUAUUGGUCAACAACAGAUAUGCAAAUACUGCAGCGUGGCGAGACUACUACGGUGAGUGCACGAGUAAUGUAAAAUUGGCCUGACAGAGAUGUGACAACAAACUCAAGAAAAAAAAAAAAAAAAAAAAAAUUGGCAGCAUGUUGCAAUGGAAUUGAAAGUUAGCUUUUUAAGAAGUUGAUGGCAAGAGGGAAGAAGCUGUUGGAAUGUCUGCUCGUUUUAGUUUGCAUUGUUCGGUAGUUCCUACCUGAGGGAAGGAGCUGGAAGAGCUGGUGACCGGGAUGUGGAGGGUCCGAGAGAAUUUUGCACACUCAUGUCUUAGUUCUGGCAGCGUGCAAGUCCCCAAGGCUGGGUAAGGGUGUACCGACAAUCUUUUCAGCAAGUUGAAUUUUACACGCGAUGUCUUCGAGUUAAAUGGACUGCACUUAAAUGUCUAACUUGUGCGGUGCAUACCCAACUGAUUGCCACCUCAUUAGUUUUCCAUCAGACCAGGCUGGCACUCGACUCCUUAUUGGCAGAAAGAGGAAGUGAUUGGAAGCAUGUCUGGGGAAAGCUGCUGCACAUUAAUUCCCAAUAAUACAGUCCCAGAUGGGAGCUUCACCAAAACUCCUAACGGUCUGGGAGCCUUAGCCAAUGAACUUAAAGAACAAAUGGGGACUAACCCUUUCAAUUAUCUAAUGGAAAGAUGGUUUAGCAAAUGGAAAGGGGAAAUUGGUAGUUUGAUCAUCUCAAUUGGCACUAUUCUGGGGUUUUUUGUGUUUUGUGUUUGAACGCCUACCUGUUCACGUCUCUGAAUCUUCGGACUAUGAUGGUUACAGUGAAUUUGUUUAGGUUGGACUGCAUUACCGCUUCCUUCGUUUUCAAAACGUGGCCAGGAAUAUGGUCUACGAAAGUUUCCUGUACUUCAUAUGAAAUAUUAAAUUGUUCUUAUACCUCCUCACUCCACUUCUGCCUCUGGUUGUCUCUAUCAGAAGGCCAACCUUAUUGCCAUAUUAAAAUAUUUUUGGCUGUUUCUUAUGAAACAUUCGAAUUUCUUGGAGAUGGUAAAUUUUGUGUUUUCAUGAGUUGUUAGCUAAAAUAAUUCAAGUAGUAACAAAUCAUAAAAUAUUUUACUCUGUGUGGUGAAUCAGGUGAAAUAGUUUACUGGUAUGAGUUUUCAACUACAGAAAUACAUGACGUUUUCUAAUUGUAAUUAUUGAAAUGCACCUGUAUAUGUUUUGUGACACUAGUUCUGGAACCUUUCUCGGACACCUCAUGAUACAACUUGAAAGCAGUAUAUUUUCUGGGUUGUUCAUAGAGUCAGCUCUGUCUAUUUAACCUCAUGCUUUGCACGGACAGCAAGUCGAGCUCACGUCACAUAUGACGUAGCUGCGUAAUUAGGAAUCCCACGCGCGUUCCUGGCAAAACAUGCCCCGCUGCAUCGUGAUUGGUUCCGGCAUCGCGGGAAGGACAAACUACGCACAUGUAACUCGAUGACUAUCUCGAAUAUAAAUCCCAGUUGUACGAAAUAAAAACAAAUACAUGUUUUAUGCCAGAGGGUUUAGGGGUAGUCCCCCCACGUAGUAGGGCGUGUAUACCGGUAUAAAGCAGCCAAUCAUAGUGCAGCGGCGCGUGUCCCGAAGCCAGUAGUAUUGGAACAGGGCGUGCCCUGCCAGAAACGUCAGAUUCCAAAUUCUACGUGGCCGCCAUUUUGUAGUUGAGCAUAACGAGGAGCUCGAGCCAACGACUGUUUAGCGGCACUGAGUUGGUUCCGUAAUUUUCGGCGAAAUCGUAUAGAAAAACAUCUGCACUUAAGAAUACCGAAGAAAUGCGUCAUCGAUGUUUCGCCAGCAAGACAAAGAAGAGGAAGUUUGACAUCACCCCAAAAGAAGAAGUGGUUGUCUUUCAUUGGCCGCCCCGAAAUCAAGUUGUUGGUCACCACACAUCAAGUCUUCUUGCUUGCUUGAUGGUCUAUGUUGUCCACAUGCUAUUUGAACACGUGGACAUCUCUAAUGGCGGAUGACUACCCCUGCAUUUACCUAUGCAACAGUAACUGUCCCCGCGCUUUCUGCACGCCCGCCUCAUGGUGUCUUGGAUUGAAUAGGGGACUACAUACGAAAUGUGAUACCGCAGAAUGUUUAUAUCAAUCUUUUUUGAUCGAAAUGUCACCAUCACGUCUUCUUUCCCCCCCCUGUGUUAAAGACUGGAAAUGGGAGGAUUUGUGUCCCAUCAGCUGUGGACAUUUUACACCAUGAUGGAGAAAGUCGAGUUGUGCACAUGCCAUUUGAAUACCUGAUGGCGGAUGACUGCAUAUACAUUUAGCUUGUUAAAGAAGAGGCUAAACAGGAUGAAUCGUACCCCAUCAGAUGUGGAAGUCUUCCAGUCACGUUGAAGACAGUCGACGUCUCACACAACAUUCGAUGAGCCGCCAUGUUGGUCUGAGGGAAAACAAAUGUUUUAGAAGGUUGCAAUUUGUGGGUACCACUAUUAUACUUUUACUAACUGAUCAGGUCUGGUCCAUAAUGUAUAUCAGUGAUACUUAAAGAUGUGCAUUUUGGAAACAAUAGGAUUAUUAGUGGUCCUUUGGCCUGUUGACAAGUUUAACUUUUGAAGCUUACCAUAAAAUGGAUGAGUCAAAUUGGAAAAGAAAAGAGAGUCCUGUCGUGUGAACGCUUUCCCCUACAUCAAUAUGGCGGCUACUUGUUUACAUUGGACACCCCUCAAUGAGGCUUGAUUGACCAAUUCCACUUCAGUUCCCAUCAGGUCAGUGCUGGUUGUGUUCCCGGUUGGGGCAUGCUUCAAAAUGCAUCCACUGAUAGGCCUGAAGCAAGCUGCCUUGGCUUGAAGGUUUGCAAAUAGAUGCUAAACUUAACUUUCCUCUUGCUUUCUGGCUGGUACUUUAACUUGGCAGCCCAGGUUGAAUUGGGGAAUACACCUUAAGCUUUCUCUGGUCUCUCUUUGAACAUUUGUGACAUUUGUAGAUGUCAUUUGUGUGUUUUGCUCAUUUUGUCUUUAUUUGUGUAGACUGUGCUUGCAGUCAGCACAUCUAAAGUCAGUUCAAACAUUUCAGUUGGGACAGAAUCCGUGUUGGGAAAGUUAAUUUUCUUCACAAAGUAGUUCAAAGUUCAGUUCACCGUGUGUGUGUGCGAGAGAGAGAGUCCCCUCCAAAAGUAUUUCAUUGGAAAGGUCAAUUCCUUUUUUGUUGUAUACUGAAAGCAUUUAGAUAUCAGAUCAAAAGAUGAAUAAAUGUGUUUAUUAUUUUUUUUAAUUUGACCUUAUUGCACUCUUCAGUCUUCCAGAUUGCUUAUGUUGAAAUAAAACCUUUCAUGCCUUU